UACGAAGGGGACUAGCGUUGUUCGGAAUCACUGGGCGUAAAGCGUGCGCAGGCGGCGCGUUAAGACAGGUGUGAAAGCCCCGAGCUUAACUUGGGAAUUGCGCUUGUGACUGGCGUGCUGGAGUGUGGCAGAGGGAGGUGGAAUUCCACGUGUAGCAGUGAAAUGCGUAGAGAUGUGGAGGAACACCGAUGGCGAAGGCAGCCUCCUGGGCCAGCACUGACGCUCAUGCACGAAAGCGUGGGGAGCAAACAGG
rnacentral:rRNA from 1 species